AAAGACCAGGUCUCAGUCUGUCCACAUUUUACUGCUCAGAACUCCGUCAUUGACCCCAUCUGCAAAGGCUUCUGGGAAUUGUGGUAUUCCUAUCUACCCAACCGAUGGAGAGUAAGAGGCAUAAAUCUCUCCCUCAUUGGACUCCGUGGCCCCCCAGUCUCUGUUUUGCAUUAGACACUGCUCAGCCCCUGGGGGGCGACUCUCUGGAGUUUGGGACUCACCCCUCCCAUGCCACCACCCCCAGAGAGGAGCUGACUGCAGAAAGAUUCACUCCCUAGCAACAUUUACUGUGCCUUGGGUGCAUGGUACCAAGGGCCCCAUCACCCUCGGUGUUCAAGGGGACUCAUCCUGGAGGAGCAAAGCCCACGGUAGCCUGAUGCUGCCCUUGUGACAUUUGUCCCUCUGCAGGUUCAAGCCUUCAAAGCACAGAGAAGCUGAGUGGCCCCUCUGAGGUCACACAGCCCACUGGAGGCCAAGGUGGGUGGAGAGCCCAG